CUCUCUCUGUAUCUCAGGGGUCUGCAACCCACGGCUCUUUAACCCCUCCGCAGUGGCUCCCUGUACCUUAAAGACUCCGUGUCCGUGAAUGUUUCUUUUCAUCCUGUGU